CCCGCGGAGGAGAAGAAACCAAGCAGGAUUCCCUCAGUAUCGGCGAGUGAAGAGGGAGAAGCCCAGCACCGAAGCAUGUGGCAGGUUUGUCGAUAGGCCAUGUGGUGUGUGGGUCGGCUGGCGGGACUGCCGCUCCUCUCCGAGUCCAGCAUUGAGUAUAGUAAUGCGUAAAUUGGCCCAUAGAGGGCGAUAGGCCCGUAGGAGUGGAGGCUCAGGCAGGUGAGGCGGUUCACCAGGCUGGCUCAGGAGUCGGGUUGCUUGAGAUUGCAGCCUAAAGUGGGUGAUAAACUCCAUCCAAGGCCAAAUACAGGCACGAGUCUGAUAGCGGACAAAUACCGUGAGGGAAAGUUGAAAAGUGCUCUGAAGAGAGAGUAAACAGUACGUGAAACCGCGUGCAGGUAAGCAGGUGGCGUCAAGCUGCUAGCCGGGAGGACUCAGCUGGCUGCAGUGUAGUGUGCACGCCUAGUGCAUCGCCGUGAAUGGGCCAGAGUAGGAUGCGGUGGUCCGCUCCUUGUGGAGGAGUGGAGCAUGACUACUGUUUCUCCUUCACCACACCGCCGUCUAUUCUGACUCUCUCUAUCUAUCCGCCUGUCUAUCUACCUGUCAAUCCUGCUGUGGGUGGGCUAGUGGUUGGGUGGAUGCUCUUCGUGUAAUCAUCGAAAUAUUUGCAUGUAUUGCUGCGAAAAGAAGAGUCUAGGCAUGGUUGCCUCCGAAGUACGCAC
rnacentral:ncRNA from 1 species